UAAUAUAUUGAAACUGCGAACGGCUCAUUAAAACAGUUAUAAUCUACUUGAUGUUUUUAAUAUAAGGAUAACUACGGAAAAUCUGUAGCUAAUACUUGUGAAAAUACCUUUUGAUAUAUACAUAUGUAUGUAUCAUUAAGGUAUGUAUUUGUUAGAUAUAAGAAUAAAAUAAAUAUAAUUGAAUUAUAACAAAGAAGAAACACAUAAAAUAUGUGUAUUAUCAAUCGAGUAUCUGACCUAUCAGCUUUUGAUGUUAGGGUAUUGACCUAACAUGGCUAUGACGGGUAACGGGGAAUUAGAGUUCGAUUCCGGAGAGGGAGCCUGAGAAAUAGCUACCACAUCUAAGGAAGGCAGCAGGCGCGUAAAUUACCCAAUUCUAAAAAAGAGAGGUAGUGACAAGAAAUAACAAUACAAUAUCGAAAAAUGAUUUUGUAAUUGGAAUGAUAGGAAUUUACAAGGUUCCUAGAGAAACAAUUGGAGGGCAAGUCUGGUGCCAGCAGCCGCGGUAAUUCCAGCUCCAAUAGCAUAUAUUAAAAUUGUUGCAGUUAAAACGUUCGUAGUUGAAUAUUAAAGAAUCCGAUGUUUCAUUUAAACUGGUUUGGGAAAACCAAAUAUAUUAUAUAUUUUGCUUUGUUCAAAAUAAGGUUUUCUAAUAAAUUAUGUUUUUAUCAGAUAUGACAGAAUCUUUUUUAAAAUCUCUUCAAUAUGCUUUUAUUGCUUUUGAGAGGUUUUGUUACU
rnacentral:rRNA from 1 species